CCAAGUUAGAACAGCACCAUUUACCGUGUCACAGCUGUCAUUUUUUUUUUUUUGCAUCGUGACAAUGGGUUGACAAUUGUGAAGGAUUCACUGCCCUUUGAUAAAGCUCCUCAGUGGUUCCAAAGAUAAGACAUUGCUUGAGUAACACCUCUCCAUUACAGUGCAUUCGACUAGAUGCUGAGCGUGUGAGAUUGGGAAUGACUGAGUAGUGUUACUACUAAAGUGCAGUGACCACAUUAGUAAAGCGGUGGCUUUGUCCUGCACUUCCCAAGGUCGAGGCGAACUGCUGAGUGGAGCAAUGAUAUAGAUUAGCACACGGGUGUGCGUUCUGCAUUUGCACGCCUCAAGCCGUUACUUUAGAUAAUUAAUUCUAGAUCAUGCCAGGUCAUUCAUGCAGCUGUAAUAAGCAGAAGGGGGCAUGCCAUAGGCAAGAAAAAAGAAGUACUACCAGGACAAUUUUCGUGCUGGAAACGCUAGCUCCAGUUAUUAUUCCCAGCUGCAUGUACACAAGACAAAAAAAUGUACGCCAAUAUAGUAUUGCAAGUCUAGCAAGGCCUGCUGAGGAAAGUAAAGUUGCUUAAUCACACAUUAAAAACUGUCAGUGGCUAACACCGAGUCUGGAGCCCAUAAAUGUGGCCUCUCUCAUAGCUGAGCUGCCGCCUUGGCUUAUUAAACCCCUUUAACUCAAUUAACCUGUUAGAAGAACCUCAUUAAAGAAUCCCCCAUGAUCUUGAGAUGCUAGCCCAGCUCUGACCAUCUCUUUGGGCCAACUACAAUGCCAUGAAAGUAAACAACUUGGAAUGAGACCAAACACUUGCUCUACAAUGAGAUUUACUGUAACAACCGACAGUUGCAUUAAAGCCUUUGUUCAACCAACAAAACUGACUCUUUGCAAAAUGAAAGGCUUAUUUAUACCUAGCAUGAGUUCUAUUUAUAUCUAGCCUAAGUGCGGAGCAUUGAUAGACCAACUGGAAUGAAAUGAUCUCCGUGAUUGACUCUGGUACAUUAGAAGCCAGGCAUAAAAAUGAGAAAGCUUAGCAACUGCUAUGGCAGCUAAACAGAAUAGCACUGCCUCCACAAAAAACAACACCUGUAGCUAACACCAAAAGCUUGGACAUCAACCAGGUGGUGCUCUCUCCACGGUGUGACACUGCAACAGCAUCACCGUGGUCACUGGCGUCCAUAACAAAUGCUUGCCACACCUGGCUAAUUGCAAUACGCUCCCAGGACUGACUGACCGACGAGCCCAGGCAUGGAUUCACGAGGAAGAGCUUCCGGGACCACCUGUCCUCAUCCACCCCCCCACGGUCGCCUGUUACAUGGAGGCCGAGCUUAGCAUGGAUAGGACACUCAUCAGAACGACGGUCCAUGGAACUGUUCCGUGUCAGCGCUGUCUACAAGAGAGCUGAAACGCGCAAGCGACGCGAUGUAUCCCACGAAGACGAGUACUGCGAAGCUGCUGUUACGCGUCCAAACUGCUCCAGCAGCCACGAAGCAACAUGAAAGCGAUACUCGAAGAUUAAAGAAAUGA